CUCCUGACCUCAGGUGAUCCGCCUGCCUCGGCCUCCCAAAGUGCUGGGAUUACAGGCAUGAGCCACCAUGCCUGGCCUUAAGUGUGUAUUUUGUAGCUAAAAGCUAGUCUUUUAAAUACAUAUUUUUUAUUUUAGCCGUCUUCAGUAGAAGUAUUUCUAAAAUGUAUUAAAUGCUCCAUUAAUUUAUCCCAAUAUUCUGAACACAGUGUAAUAUUUUUAUAUGGAUUCAAGUUCAUUACAAAUACCAUUGCCCUGUAUUUUAGGCUUGUUAUAGGGGUGUUGACGUCUGUUUCAAACACCAAAAUGGCCUAAGACUGAUUAUGUUCUCGCUUUCAUGAAUGUGUAAGCUUCCAUACCUUUCACAGUCACUUCCUUCUCUUCCCUUUCUAAUCCACUGUAGACUGAGAAACCUGAUGAACAGGUUUAUUAGAAUUAUGCUGAAAAGAAGACAAAGUGAGCUAGAAGGAAUUGGAAAUGGCUCUUCUGAGUGUGACACCUUUACCCAUUAGUCAGGGACUAAUCCAGCGCCACGAGUCUUUUAUACUUAUUUCUGGAUCCUUGGCUACACUUCAAAUAGGAUUGAUCUAGUCUUUUCUACCACCUCUGACGACUGGCAUAAAGCAAGACUUGAAAAGCAAGACAUAUAUUCCCAAAUACAAAGGGACGCUAAAAAAAAAAAUGAAACAGUGCUGGUAAGAUAGCUAAUAAGAGAG